rnacentral:ncRNA from 1 species
UGGGUUGCUUGCAAGGGCGUAGGGUGGAUGCCUUGGCAGACAGGACCGAUGAAGGACGUUUGAGGCAGCGAUAUUCCUCGGGGAGCCGCCAACAGGGCUUCGAUCCGAGGGUCUCCGAAUGUGGGAACACGGCCGUCGUUAUGGGCGGUCACCGGCUUCGGCCGGGGGGUACGCAGGGAAGUGAAACAUCUCAGUACCUGCAGGAAAGGAUAUUCCGUGAGUAGUGGCGAGCGAAAGCGGAUCAGGCCAAACCGCGUGCGUGUGAUACCCGUCGGGGGUUGCGUGCGUGGUGUUGUGGGAGCGUGUGUCCCGGUGCCGACGUGCCGGGCGGGAGUGAUAAAACCAUGUGUGAGGCGAACCGGGUUGGAUACCGGGCCGUAGAGGGUGAUGGCCCCGUAGCCGUAUGCGCAUGGUCUCCUGAUCGCGUGUCCCAAGUAGCACGGGCCCCGUGGAAUCCCGUGCGAAUCCGUGCAGACCGUUGCAUAAGCCUAAAUAUUCCUGUCUGACCGAUAGUGUACGAGUACCGUGAGGGAAAGGUGAAAAGUACCCCGGGAGGGGAGUGAAAUAGUCUCUGAAACCGUGCGCCUACGAUCCGUCGGAGCCUUCUUGUGGGGUGACGGCGUGCCUAUCGAAAAAUGAGUCUGCGAGUCAGUGGCAUGUGGCGAGCGUAAGCCGUGUGGUGUACGCGUAGCGAAAGCGAGUCUUAAAAGGCGUUGUAGUCGCGUGUCCUGGACCCGAAGCGGGAUGAUCUAGCCCUGAGCAGGUUGAAGCGCGGGUAGGACCGUGUGGAGGACCGAACCCACCUGGGUUGAAAACCGGGGGGAUGACUUGGGGUUAGGGGUGAAAGGCCAAUCAAAUUCCGUGAUAGCUGGUUCUCUCCGAAAUGCAUUUAGGUGCAGCGUCGGUUGAUUGCUUCCGGGGGGUAGAGCUACUGGAUGCGUUGCGGGCCCGUACAGGGUACCAACAGCAACCAAACUCCGAAUACCCGUGAAGUGUAUUCCGGCAGUGAGUCGGCGGGGGAUAAGCUCCGUCGUCGAGAGGGAGACAGCCAGAUCGUCGUCUAAGGUCCCGAAGCGUGUGCUAAGUGGGAAAGGAUGUGGAGUCGCAUAGACAGCCAGGAGGUUGGCUCAGAAGCAGCCACCCUUGAAAGAGUGCGUAACAGCUCAACUGGUCUAGUGGUUCCGCGCCGACAAUGUAGCGGGGCUCAAGCACACCACCGAAGACGCGGCAGCAGUUUUCUGCUGGGUAGGAGAGCGUCCCACACCGGGUCGAAGCGGCCGCGUAAGCGUGUCGUGGACUGUGUGGGAGUGAGAAUGCAGACAUGAGUAGCGAGAGCGGGGUGACGGAC